CGUCCCCUUGCCACUAGCAAAACUCAGAAACUCGCUCUCUAUUCCAGAGUCCAGACAUAGUUGAGCUGCUUCCAACACACAAAGGCAGAGCAGAACUUUUGUUAUCAUGCUCUAAUUGGAUCACGACAAUUUCAUUCAAAAGAAUUCAGGGUGGAGAAUGGAUACUACAUUUUAUGAUUCAGAACUCAAUUAACUACAUUGAGUCAUUGACCAGUUCAACUACUGAACCAAUGGCUGCAAC
rnacentral:misc_RNA from 1 species